rnacentral:rRNA from 1 species
AUUGAACGCUGGCGGCAGGCCUAACACAUGCAAGUCGAGCGGCAGCGGGAAAGUAGCUUGCUACUUUUGCCGGCGAGCGGCGGACGGGUGAGUAAUGCCUGGGAAAUUGCCCAGUCGAGGGGGAUAACAGUUGGAAACGACUGCUAAUACCGCAUACGCCCUACGGGGGAAAGCAGGGGACCUUCGGGCCUUGCGCGAUUGGAUAUGCCCAGGUGGGAUUAGCUAGUUGGUGAGGUAAUGGCUCACAAAGGCGACGAUCCCUAGCUGGUCGGAGAGGAUGAUCAGCCACACUGGAACUGAGACACGGUCCAGACUCCUACGGGAGGCAGCAGUGGGGAAUAUUGCACAAUGGGGGAAACCCUGAUGCAGCCAUGCCGCGUGUGUGAAGAAGGCCUUCGGGUUGUAAAGCACUUUCAGCGAGGAGGAAAGGUUGAUGCCUAAUACGUAUCAACUGUGACGUUACUCGCAGAAGAAGCACCGGCUAACUCCGUGCCAGCAGCCGCAGUAA